rnacentral:rRNA from 1 species
UACGUAGGGUGCAAGCGUUGUCCGGAAUUAUUGGGCGUAAAGAGCUCGUAGGCGGUUUGUCGCGUCGAAUGUGAAAACCCGGGGCUCAACCCCGGGCCUGCAUUCGAUACGGGCAGACUAGAGUUCGGUAGGGGAGUCUGGAAUUCCUGGUGUAGCGGUGAAAUGCGCAGAUAUCAGGAGGAGCACCGGUGGCGAAGGCGGUUCUCUGGGCAUGUCCUGACGCUGAGGAGCGAAAGUGUGGGGAGCGAACAGG